UCACCUACUUUUGACUUCUCUUUUGAAACCACCGAACUCAACUUACACUACACCCACUUCUCUCUAACAAAAUUUAUUACAUAUUAAAACUGAACUCUACUUCCUCCUUAAUAGGUUAGGGUUACCUCCAAAACAAAACAUUCAAAAAACCCCCUUCUCCUCACAAUGCACACGCUCUCAAUCUUCCCUAUCAUCGUCGAUAAUGUGAGUUAUCUCCAUCUCCUCUCUUUCCCUCUCACCCCUCUUCUCAUCUUCCUCUCUAUCUUCUUCUUCUACAUCAUUGCUUUCUCCUCUGUUUCAAUAUACUCUUUGCAACUCUGUUUUCCCCAUUCU
rnacentral:lncRNA from 1 species